UUUGAGCCGAGGGGCUUUGCGGAAACACUAGAUCGGCGUCGAUCGGAAACCGUAGCAAGAAGCCCGCACCACGUGAAGGACUGACUGAAGCGUGAUGAAAUACUGAGCUCGGAUGCAACGAGCAGUCAGGCAGUAGUAAA
rnacentral:ncRNA from 1 species